rnacentral:rRNA from 1 species
AUUGAACGCUGGCGGCAGGCCUAACACAUGCAAGUCGAACGCGUGGCGGACGGGUGAGUACUGUCUGGGAAACUGCCUGAUGGAGGGGGAUAACUACUGGAAACGGUAGCUAAUACCGCAUACCAUCAGAUGUGCCCAGAUGGGAUUAGCUUGUUGGUGGGGUAACGGAUCACCAAGGCGACGAUCCCUAGCUGGUCUGAGAGGAUGACCAGCCACACUGGAACUGAGACGCGGUCCAGACUCAUACGGGAGGCAGCGGUGGGGAAUAUUGCACAAGGGGAGGAAGCCUGAUGCAGACAGGCCGCGUGUAUGAAGAAGUCAUUCGGGGUGUGAAGUACUGUCAGCGUGGAAGCGUUACCCGCAGAAGAAGCACCGGCUAACUCCGUGCCAGCAGCCGCGGUAAUUC